rnacentral:rRNA from 1 species
CCUACGGGAGGCAGCAGUAGGGAAUAUUGCUCAAUGGGGGAAACCCUGAUGCAGCAACGCCGCGUGUAGGAUGAAGUUUUUCGGAUUGUAAACUCCUUUUGUUAGAGAAGAUAAUGACGGUAUCUAACGAAUAAGCACCGGCUAACUCCGUGCCAGCAGCCGCGGUAAUACGGAGGGUGCAAGCGUUACUCGGAAUCACUGGGCGUAAAGAGAGCGUAGGCGGGAUAGCAAGUCUGAUGUGAAAUCCUAUGGCUUAACCAUAGAACUGCAUUUGAAACUGUUAUUCUAGAGUAUGGGAGAGGUAGGCGGAAUUCUUGGUGUAGUGGUAAAAUCCGUAGAGAUUAAGAGGAAUACUAAUUGCGAAGGCGACCUGCUAGAACAUAACUGACGUUGAGGCGCGAAAGCGUGGGGAGCAAACAGGAUUAGAUACCCGAGUAGUC